ensembl:snRNA U1 U1 spliceosomal RNA
AUACUUACCUGGCAGGGGAGAUACCAUGAUCACGAAGGUGGUUUUCCCAGGGCGAGGCUUAUCCAUUGCACUCCGGAUGUGCUGACCCCUGCGAUUUCCCAAAAUGUGGGAAACUUGACUGCAUAAUUUGUGGUAGUGGGGGACUGCGUUUGUGCUCUCCCCUG